UCUCCGUUGGUGAACCAGCGGAGGGAUCAUUACAGGACUCGCAAGACUCCUUCACCCUGUGAACCUCACUACAAGCACGUUGCUUCGGCGGGUGUCCCGGCGGGGGUUUUCCCUCGCCGGGGCGCACAGCCCGCCGGCAGCCUACUAUACUCUGUCUCUUUGCGUUGGCAUCUCGAGAAAAAAAAAACAAGUUAAAACUUUCAACAACGGAUCUCUUGGUUCUG
rnacentral:misc_RNA from 1 species